GGGCGGUUCCCCCUUCCGGGGGGACAGGGUGACGAGGUGGUGCAUGGUUGUCGUCAGCUCGUGUCGUGAGAUGUUGGGUUAAGUCCCGCAACGAGCGCAACCCUCGACCUUAGUUGCCAGCAUUCAGUUGGGCACUCUAAGGUGACUGCCGGCUAAAAGUCGGAGGAAGGUGGGGAUGACGUCAAAUCAUCAUGCCCCUUAUGACCUGGGCUACACACGUGCUACAAUGGGCGGUACAAAGGGUCGCGAACCCGCGAGGGGGAGCCAAUCCCAAAAAGCCGCUCUCAGUUCGGAUUGCAGGCUGCAACUCGCCUGCAUGAAGCCGGAAUCGCUAGUAAUCGCGGAUCAGCAUGCCGCGGUGAAUACGUUCCCGGGCCUU
rnacentral:rRNA from 1 species